CGCACGUGAUCCAACACGUGAAGGUCAUAUAAAACUAGGUUAGGUUAGGUUGGUUUGAAGAAUUGAGGUUAUGUUGACGUGGACACAGGACAUAGUUCUUUACAAAAACGUCAAAAUGUCAGCUGUCAAUAAAUUUUAAAGACUGGCGAAAUUUAGUUUGCAGUUGUUAUUACAUCAAUAAUUCUAAGGAUUUUGGGUAAAUUAGAAGAUGGAUUUACCCUUAACUGAAGAGAACUGCCCGAUGAUUCUUGAAAAAUUACUGGAAGCGGAGGUGGUAAUCAAUAAACAAUUAAAUCACAUUCUUUCUCGGCAUUAUCAUGUCGAAGCUAAACUGCAAAACAUAAGCAAAGUUUUGCCAAAUGUGAUUAUUAUUCGAUCAGAGAGUGAAAAAUUCCGUGAUAUGAUCAAUCACACAAAUGAAUUGGCUGAGAAAGUCAGUGCGAAAGUCAGACAAUUAGACUUGGCUCGGAGCAGAGUAUGUGAAUGUCAAAGCCGAGUGAACGACAUCCUGGACUUGCAACUUUGCAGCCAAGGAGUAGCGGCUGCUUUGCGAAAUGAAGAUUACGAGCAAGGAGCUGCUCACGUCCAUCGAUAUUUAUCCAUGGAUCAACAACUAUUAGAAAGAACUGCUGAGGAUGUUUCAGGAGAUCGUACGAGUGUCGCCAGUUCUCUUUCUACUUUACAGCAAGCGGCUCUGGAAUUAAGAACUGUCAUCACACACAAAUUCGACGAAGCAGUAAAAUCCGAGGACUUAGCUUCUGUAGAGAGGUUUUUUAAGAUAUUCCCUUUGCUUGGAAUGCACAUUGAGGGGCUGAAGAAAUUCUGCCAGUACCUCUGUUCAAAGCUGCAAGAAACUGCGCAAAAGAACUUAAAACUAGCUUUGGACAUAAAAGCAUCCGAUAAAAGGGCUGCUGUUAUAUUCGCUGAUACAAUAACUUUAUUAUUUGAGGGAAUAGCCAGAAUUGUGGAAGUUCAUCAGCCAAUUAUUGAAACUUAUUACGGACCUGGAAGACUACUAAUUACUGUUACCAUUUUACAAAAGGAGUGCGAUAGGCAAAUUAAAAAGAUCAUCGCAGAGUUUAUGAAGCAUAGAAGUAUUGCAAAAAAGGUACAAAUGAUAAAUGAUUACUUGAGGAAACAAGGAGGCGAAAAGGCUGAUCCCAAGGAACUAGACUUGCUUCUUGGAGAAAUAACAAUUAUGCACGCUCGUUCUGAAUUAUAUAUUCGUUUUUUAAGAAGGCGAAUCAGUAGUGAUUUGGAAAUUGGUACAACCGAUGAAUCGCAACGAAAGGCUUCCAUGAAUGAUUUCGAGACUUUUGUCAGCAAUUCCGAAUUGGCGAGAAGCAUGCAGGAAUUGUUGGGAGCCUAUCUGGCCUUAGAAAGAUAUUUUUUGGAGGAGAGUGUGAAUAAAGCAAUUGGAAUGGACGUUCUGGAUCAGGAACAACAAACUUCGAGCAUGGUUGAUGACGUUUUCUUCAUAGUGAAGAAAUGUGUGAGACGAGCAAUUUCGAGUUGGAGUAUCGACGGAGUUUGUGCUGUAGUAAAUAUGGCCUGUGGAAUUCUAGAAGGAGAAUUUACAAGCCGACUAAGAAGUCGUUUACGUCAAGGAUAUCCAGCUGGUUAUAUGGAUUUAGCUCAAGCUUACAGUGCUCUGCAGACGAGUAUUCAGCAUGGCAGAUUGCAGACUUCUGAUACAGAACAAGGAAGACUAAUGUUUUUGGCUUAUCUGAAUAACACGGAUGUCAGCAUCGAGUAUGUGGAGACUCUGAGCAAAAGCCUCAAUAUGGAAAUAAACCAGGCUUUUUCUAAUAUGCAGAAUAAAGAAAGGGGAAAAGUGGAUAGUUGUUUGGCUGGAUUAAAGGGAGUCACUCAUAGUUUAAGGGCUGUAAUUGAUUACGGAUUGGAACAGUUAAGAGCGAGUGCUGUGAAACCAAGAGUCACACCUUGGGUUGAUGCUUUCCUUUCGAUAAAUCACCACGUGAAUGAGGACGAAUUACUGAGGUAUGAAACAGACGAACCUUUUGUGCAGACUCUAAUUUUAAAUUUGGAAGGCCUUCUUCAAGCUUUUAAGGAUAAUCUCACUGCUUUAAAUUAUGACGCUUUGAUUGGAAUUCUCACUGCGGAAGUCACGGCUCGAUUGGAGAAGGUGGUGCUUAAAUGCACUUUUAAUAGAGCUGGAGGUCUUAUUCUAGACAAAGAAAUAAGAUCACUCGCAAGUUACUUAGCAUCUGCAACUUCCUGGUCCGUUCGAGAUAAAUUUGCAAGACUGAUGCAAAUAGCCACGAUCCUUAGUGUUGAAAAAGUAGAAGAACUUGCAGAUUAUUGUGGAGCUGAUGCAAUUGCCUGGAGACUGACGCCCCAAGAAGUUCGAAAAAUUGCAGGUCUUAGGAUAGAUCUUAGAAGUGAAGAUAUUAAAAGACUAAAACUAUAAAGAUGUCAGAAAUGAUCGAAAAGGAUUAUUUCAUAUACAAAUUUGUGCUCCAAGCUCUAAUUUUAUCGAUUAUCAAUCUAAUGAGGAAUUGGAGAAACGUUAAAAAAAUCCUCUAACCCGCCACUCAAUUCAUACCGGAAGUUGGAUUUCAAAAUUAAGGAGUGUGAAUUGCGAGGCUGGGAAAGGAUAUUUUUCUUUAAUUUUGAAGGUUGACAUUGAAGAAACAUUUCGAGUGUGAUAGUGAAUCAUUCAAAUAUUUUAGAAAGUCCAAUUUUGAAUUCAAUAAA